rnacentral:rRNA from 1 species
UACGUAGGGGGCAAGCGUUGUCCGGAAUCAUUGGGCGUAAAGAGCGUGUAGGCGGCCAGGUAGGUCUGCUGUGAAAACUCGAGGCUCAACCUCGAGACGUCGGCGGAAACCAUCUGGCUAGAGUCCGGAAGAGGAGAGUGGAAUUCCUGGUGUAGCGGUGAAAUGCGCAGAUAUCAGGAAGAACACCCGUGGUGAAGGCGGCUCUCUGGGACGGUACUGACGCUGAGACGCGAAAGCGUGGGGAGCGAACAGG